rnacentral:rRNA from 1 species
GGUGAACGCUGGCGGCGUGCUUAAGACAUGCAAGUCGAACGGGCUCUUCGGAGCCAGUGGCGCACGGGUGAGUAACGCGUAACUGACCUACCCCAAAGUCGCGGAUAACGAUUCGAAAGAAUCGCUAAUACGUGAUGUGCUGUCAGAUCCUGUUCUGCCAGUAAAGAUUUAUUGCUUUGGGAUGGGGUUGCGUUCCAUCAGCUAGUUGGUGGGGUAAAGGCCCACUAAGGCGACGACGGAUCGCCGGCCUGAGAGGGUGGCUGGCCACAGGGGCACUGAGACACGGGUCCCACUCCUACGGGAGGCAGCAGUUAGAAAUCUUCCACAAUGGGCGAAAGCCUGAUGGAGCGACGCCGCGUGAGGGAUGAAGGUCUUCGGAUCGUAAACCUCUGAAUCAGGGACGAAAGACGCGAAAGCGGGAUGACGGUACCUGAGUAAUAGCACCGGCUAACUCCGUG